AUUGAUGCUGAGUGGAGCUGAGCCUGAGUGAAUGCAGCAGGAAUACAGUAACUAAAUCUCUGUUGAUUUAUUUAUUUUUUUUUGUUCUUUUAAAGGGAGAAGAAAAAUCCCUCGACUCUGACAUUUACAAUAGACAUUAUCCGCUCCCUGACAUUUGGGCUCAUAAACUGAGGUCGGCCAAAUUUCCGUUCUUCACUCACCCCGCUGUGUGAGACAAGAUGUGAACUGACAGAGUGGCCCUUCCUCUGAACGGUGGAGCACCUGCCCCUUGCUCCCCACACAGGAUUUCGGGAGACAGGUACUUAUUUCAUUCCACAGCUGGCCAUGGAUGGAGGGGGCUGCUCCAGGAGGCUUUCCUGAGGUUGAGCCAGGCUGGUGAUGCCAUGUUGCUGUCACCCACAUCCAGGCUUUAGAAGGACGAGAAUCAGGACGAGGCUUUUGUAACUCCUUUGAACACAGCCAGGAACCAGCUGGACUUACCCUCCACCCUGCAGAGGAUGCAAACCAAACUCCUUGUAAUCCAGAGCCUGCUCCAGCAUCACCUUCUCCCACCAGCAUUUUGGCACCCACCUGAAGCACCGAGAGCAGCAGUGAAAUGAUGUGGCAGCAUUAACCCUGCUGAGUGAAGGGGAGUGUCUGCAGGGGAACACACAACUGAGGACGAGUGCCUGGAGACACACAGAGGAGACUGCCAGAAGUCAGAGUGCAGUGAUGCUGGGUUAGAGCCGGGGACACCCAGCCCCAGGAAGCCCAGCGUGCCCGUCCCCCUGACCACAGUCCCACCACCAGCACGUCAUGACCCAGAGGUUCCUUGCUUCAAGCAGCCAAGGCCACGCAGAGUCCCAACUCUUGGAGCAGAGAGCACCUCCUUCAGCGUGAAGUUCUGUGUGAAACGUGGAUACUCCGGAGAGCAGCCGGCUCCCAGCCUCCCGAAACAGGACUGCAGAGAGAUGGCCUGUAGGUGUCAGCCUCCUGCUGCACAACCGCACACACAGGCUCAACAGCAGGUGGGUCCCUAUGUUUGUUUUUUAAAUCAAAGCCAUCUCACUUCACACCUGUUUUACUUAAAAAGUAAAAAUUAAAAAAAAAAAAAAACACCUCAAGUUU
rnacentral:lncRNA from 1 species